GGUCGCAUAGCUCAGCGGUAGAGCACUACGUUGACAUCGUAGGGGUCACAGGUUCAAUCCCUGUUGCGACCACCA
rnacentral:tRNA from 3 species